AGUCGAACGGUAACAGGAAGCAGCUUGCUGCUUUGCUGACGAGUGGCGGACGGGUGAGUAAUGUCUGGGAAACUGCCUGGUGGAGGGGGAUAACUACUGGAAACGGUAGCUAAUACCGCAUAACGUCGCAAGACCAAAGAGGGGGACCUUCGGGCCUCUUGCCAUCGGAUGUGCCCAGAUGGGAUUAGCUAGUAGGUGGGGUAACGGCUCACUUAGGCGACGAUCCCUAGCUGGUCUGAGAGGAUGACCAGCCACACUGGAACUGAGACACGGUCCAGACUCCUACGGGAGGCAGCAGUGGGGAAUAUUGCACAAUGGGCGCAAGCCUGAUGCAGCCAUGCCGCGUGUAUGAAGAAGGCCUUCGGGUUGUAAAGUACUUUCAGCGGGGAGGAAGGGAGUAAAGUUAAUACCUUUGCUCAUUGACGUUACCCGCAGAAGAAGCACCGGCUAACUCCGUGCCAGCAGCCGCGGUAAUACGGAGGGUGCAAGCGUUAAUCGGAAUUACCGGGCGUAAAGCGCACGCAGGCGGUUUGUUAAGUCAGAUGUGAAAUCCCCGGGCUCAACCUGGGAACUGCAUCUGAUACUGGCAAGCUUAAGUCUCGUAGAGGGGGGUAGAAUUCCAGGUGUAGCGGUGAAAUGCGUAGAGAUCUGGAGGAAUACCGGUGGCGAAGGCGGCC
rnacentral:rRNA from 1 species